UGGAUGCAGCCUAGGAUAUGGUUGGCUUUCUGGGCUGUGAGGGCACAUUGUUGGCUCAUGUCCUGCUUACCAUCCACCAACCCACUGUAAGAAUGAAAUAGCCCUCUGUUGCAGCUCCACUGCACCUGGAGCUUGGGUUUCCACUGUUCUGGUUCUAGCUGUUUGCAAGGUAUUGAACAGAUUGUUGUUAUGUUGCUUGAACACCAUGCUACAACUGAAAAGAAGCUUUUUUUUUCUUCUCUUAAAAAACAGAGGAUGCCAUACUACUGAGAGGCAAAGUCUUGCCUCCAUUUGCACUGUUCAAGCUAAUUGUCACCAUCUGUCCAACCCAACCUUUCCCACAGUGGAGUUUCACAGGAUGGAGAGUAUAAAAAGGCCUCUCCUCAAUGCCAACAGGCAGAAGAACUGAGCAGAAGCUGCUCUUGCAUGAAGGCCCUCCCUUCCAGAGAGGUCACUGCAGAGAACUGAACCCCAUCUAGGACAAGGAGCUCGGGAAUGUAAUUGCAUGGAAAGCAGGGAAUAUUUUAACGUCUAGUAUACAAAAACAAUUGGGAAUUUGCAUGUAAGAAAGGGGAAGACAUGGAGAAGGCUUCAGGCAACUAAAAAAUCACAAAGGAUGGUAGGGGAAGAACAGAGACUGAAGAAAUGGAAAAAAACUUCUCAAAGGCACAACCUUCAGCAUGAAUUGAAAGAGUAUGGGUAAAUCCACACUUACAAACCUGUGGCAAGAGGUAAAGGAAAUCAUAAGACAUAAGCAUUGCAGUGCCUAAGUGGAACGUGACGAAGGAGAAGUGACGUGCAGUGAGGGCAGUGUUGAGGUUAAGUGCACCUAGAUACUGUCAUAAGUGGAGAACAUGCUACGUCCCAUCUUUGAGGUGGGUAGUAAUGCUGAAAAGACUGUCAAGAUCAGAACUCCUUGACCAGAAUAAGAUGAAAAGUCAAAGGAUGGAUUGUGCUUAGGUGUGUUUUGUCCCAGCCUUCAAGAUGAACCUGACCAGUUUUCAAUGACUGUAUCACCAGUUGUUCAGUGACUGCACUUCAGGAUGAAGGAAUCAUACAAAAGAUGGAGAUGUGGGUCACUUACUAAGCAAGAAGAUGAAAAAAUGAGUGAAUAGAGACAAACUCAGGCCAAGAUACAAAAUGAGCUAUAACUAGAAAGGAUUAUAAAGCAUAUGAAGGGAUCAUCUUUGAAGCAUUAGAGGAAUGAAAAGGCUAAGGAAAGGAAUAGUCAACAACUGAAAGAAGAGGGAGGGAGAGGGGAACUAUCAACAGGUAUAUCUGAAAGUACAUGAGUGGUGGAGGAAUGGCAGAGAAAGAAGAAAUAGCAUAAAUAGAUAAAUACACUGAGCAGCUGUCUCCCCUACCAUGUCUUCUGCAGGCAGAAAGUGCUGAUGUUCUUCAUUUAUUUACCUCUAAUUACUGAAAUGCAGUUUUCUGCAAGGUUAGGUAGGUGCAUGAUGGAAGAA
rnacentral:lncRNA from 1 species